rnacentral:misc_RNA from 1 species
UUGAACUGUCAACAUGAGCUGUUGCUGGUCCUCAAACUGGGGGCAUGUGCACGCUCUGUUUACACAUCCACUAACAUCUGUGCACCCUCUGUAGUUCUAUGGUCCAGGGGAGAGACUCUGUCCUCCUCUCAUAGUUCUACAUUACCACACACACACUGUAAUGAAGUCUUAUGGAAUGUAUUUCGCGUUUAACGCAAUGCAAUA